UUAAAAUUUCCUCUGCAGUGUCAUUCUUCGCCUGUCUCGUGCUACAGAAAUCCUGUUAGUUCCUAUCCCUGGCCACUGCUGAGUUUUAGAGAACAAAGCAGGACUGCCAUGUACUGCCACCCAUCUCAGCCCUUUGUGGGCUGCAGAGCUUACUGGCAGACCUUUGGAGCUCCUUUCUUUCACAGAUGGGGAUGCGUUCAUGUAGCACUGUUGCUUGUAUCACUCCAACAACUCUUUUAGCAGCUGUAAAUGGAUUUCAGCAAAGAUACAAAUACUCGUGAGGUGUUUGAUCUCGGCUACUGAUUGAUAGGUGUGGGUUGAUUUUAUAUAUUCAAAUUAUAUUCCAGCAGCUCCAAGACAUAAUAGGACCAUAACAGCUUUACCCUAGAGCACUGUUACAACUGUUCAUGAUAAGUUGCUUCAUUUUACUGUUCCCACUCAGGUAUUCAGUUGCAACAGGUCUGUGACACCAACUGUUCGUAAUAGACUCCAGCUAACUUUGUAGCUUAAAAUUUCACUUCCUAAAUAUUUUGAAAGGAACAUUACCAAUAUUUUUGCAGAUUUGUGAUUUGUGUAUGAGGAAAUAGCCAUAAAUGUCCUGCUACUUUUCAGGAGAGAAAACUGGUACAUCAAAUAUGCUUUCAAUGCAUUCGGGCUGCAUUUUAGGUCUGGAAAUUGUGUUUGUUAGGUGGCUGCUUGUAAAAAAACCCUUUGGGUGUAAUCUGCUUUUGAACUGCAGGGUAUGGGAACGGUAUAUGCAGAAUGCAUUUAUGUAGGACAGAAGAAAAUUAUCCGUCUAACUCUCACUCCUUGCCUUAACAUUUCUCUGUUUUCUUUUUCAAAGACGCCACAUUCUAAGCUGGCACAAACCUUCUAGCUAUAUUCUGAGGUACAUUUGUGACACUGAUUAAAACAAAAAAAAAAAAGGUUUUCCUUGUAUGGGAAGAAAGAGGUAAACUUUGUGACUUUACUAUAAAGUUUCUAUUAGCUUUAUACAUAGUUUGCAUUUAAUGACUGGAAAUUUUCUUUUGAUGAUAUAAAGAAAUGCAAAUGUAAUCUUGAGCUUCAAGCUCGCAGUACUCGACCCCACUGCCAUUACAUUUCCUUUUAAUUGCAAUCAGCCUUUACCAUCAUUUCUGCUCUUAUUGAAACGAUACCUAAUGAUUGUUCAUCCAGUUAUCUUAGCAGUGGGCCUCCAGUCUGUGAUCCUUGCUUUGUCAGCCGCACAGCCCCAGUCUUCUUCAUUCUUAACUCAGGUCUACAAAACGUUCUAUUAAGAAACCUUCUGCUUUCAAAUGCAAAACGUGUGUGUUUGUGGGUAUGUGUGUGUGAAAUUCAUGAAGUUCUCAGUGAAGGAUUGAUAGUUCUUGUGCACAGGGACCAGACAGCAUCUUUUGGCUCAUGCUAGGAUUUAAUUAGACAUUGUAUAAGGAAAUUUCAGGACAGUGCAGAUUUAAGAUGUAAAUGAAGCAGUGGAGCCACAGCGUGUGCUGAAGGCUGUGUCCAAACACCUGUUGCUCCCUUAGUUAAAUGUUGGUUCUUGUGAACAGUCGUGAGGGAUGUGUGGGCAUCAGUUUGUGUGUUGUAGGAAGAGCUGAAGUGAUGAUGUAAGGGCUUUAUUCCACAAUUUCCUUCCUUGUCCUCCAUAACUGUUUUGCAAUGGAAAAAUGUUGUUUUACUCAGUACAGAUUGCAGUAGCAAAAGGAGGAGUGCUCUUAAUUUCCUUCAAAAUAAAAAUCUUAAACCACCUGUCAACUGAACUUGGAGGAAAGAUACGGAGAUGGGAGAAGAGCCUCUACUCAAUGUUUCUGUGCAUGUAAUUGUAUAAUAUUUUUUUGUGUGUUUUGCUUUUAAAACGCAUUCAUAUUCUCAUCAGUCAGGGUCACAGCAGUAUCUUUCCAAUACUUAGAGAUAUUUAGAGAAAUUGUUCACGUUUUCUCUUCUUUGAGUGAUGUCAACACUGAUUCCAGGAUUAGACUCCCUGCAAAAUGAACAUGAAAGAGCCCCCAGCGCAGUCAGCUGAAGCAGCCUCUGAAAGCAGUGAUUUCCAAUAAUCCAGCUGGCUCUGUGCUGGCACAGAUGGGCAGCACUGGCCUGCCGGCCACCUCGGCUCAGCUGUGGGCCCUGCAAUAAGCGUCCUGCAUUAGCGAUAUUUCAAACUGCUGCAGUUCUUUCCUGAAGUGGUCAUUGGUUUACACUCUGGGAGGUUUUUACUGCCUGCUGUAAGUAUUUCAAGAUAUACUGUAAUUAAUCACCUUGGAACGAUUGCUGUUAACAUUUUUAGCAUUUAUCACCAGUUAGCAGUUGAUGAGAUUUCUGUUCCAGUGGAAAGAACGGACGCAACUCUUUUGGAAGUGUGUGGUAAGGGUUCAUCAGUGUGGUUAGGUCCCUAUAAAAAUAACGAUACCGAGUGAGUUUUCGUUAAUUUGAAAUGUCUUUCUGAAUACCUUAAAAUCUAUGCUGUUUUUAAGGAGAACUUUAGUCUUUAAUGCUGCAUGGCUUUUUUUGAAUCGAUACUUCUCCUUUAAACAUAUGUGGUCUUUGGAGACGUGCUGGGAAAGAUGACCAUGCAAACCCAGUGACAAUGGUAAAGUUCAGCACAGUGUUCUUGAGCAGUGCUUGCAAUCUCGUUCUGAACAGCGCUGUGAGUCUGCUGUGUCAUAAGUGUGAGAAACUUAACAUUUUGAACGUGAUGGUUGAGAUUCUCACCUUCAGCAUGAUUUUAUGGCUAAAGCAUUAGGGAACAAAUAGAAGACGGACUGUGGAUUUCAAGAAAUAACAUUUGCAAGCAUUUGCUCUUUAUCUUAUCAAGUCAGCCAGCCCUGCUAUAUGUGCCUGCAGUUUACAGGGAGCUCUUCAAAGUUGAUCAAAAAGACUUUUGAAACUCGGGGUGGAUUUCAUUAUAAUCCUAAUUGUAAUAAUUGCCUUUUUAAACUAAGAGAAGCACAGAGUGAUGAGAUGAGACAGAGAGGGCAAAACAGAAGUAAACAUUUCUUUCCUCAUGGUGUCCUUGUGGGCAAGUCCUUCCUUUCUUUCAGUCUUGCUCUCAGUUCAUCCACUGAUGCAGUGGGUUCCCAUACAGUGUGCCCAGGCUCCUGUCAUCCUUGAGAAGUUUCUCCUGUCACCUGAAGGCCCAGCUGUGCCUGUCUUGGCAAUCCCAGCCUGAACACCAGGCUCGCUACCCCUCACCUCUCCUGCUUGCUCUGCCCUGGAUGCUGAGUUCCUCUCACAGAAUCAGAGCAGUUUUGGAGAACGCACAGAUCCUUUACAAAGACAGCUUGUUUUAUGUGAUGGGAAUCAAAUUUACAUAUGCCUUUGUUCUUUGUAAAUGCUGUUGUUUCGAUGGGAAUAACUUUUCUAACCAAACAGCUGCUAAACUCGUGCGUCACUUUCUGCUCAUCUAAAAUUCUUGCAAAGCUUGUUAAUGUCCAUUUAUGUACAGCUGGCACCUCCAUUUACUGUGUAUGUUCUGUAAGAUCUGUGCCAGGCUGAAAUAAAGGUGGGGAAAAAGUUGGUGCUGUGGUGUUAGGGUGUGCAUGAAUGGAUAUGAGAUGCUGAAAUCUUCUUACAUCUCUUGACUAACACAUAACGUGUUUUUCCCUUAGACUUGUGUGCACUCAUUUCACAUAUUUGAGUGAAAAGCAGAAAAAAAGUCCCCAACAACUGUUUUCAAAAUACUUUCAGCGUUGGCAGUUGUUGCUGAGCAAAAUCUAAAAUGUGAAGUCUUUGUGCUUUUGAAAAUUAGCGCUUCAGCAAGUGCGUGGCUGUGCUUAGCAGGUCUGGCUUUGUGACUAGGGCUGCUGAUUUAUCCAGUAAUGACAUCGUGCUGAGGGCAGUUCUGACUAAGAGGUCUUUACAAAUGCUAUGCGUUCCAAAGAUGUAAACCCUGGCAUACGAUGCGAAAGGCACUUAGACGGUCAAUUAUCCUUGUUAGGAUCUUGUCCAUUAUGGCUUGAGACUGAGUGAUACAGUGAUGUAAAAUAAACAGCUGAGAGAAGAAAAUUGAAAGGAGAUUGAAUACUAUGGUCCACCUUUCUUCAUUGCCAGUAUAUCUCACUUUUAAUUCUGAAUGUGCAAGUCUCCUCACUGUGUUCUUGAACUCCCAAUUGUAUAGGAUUUAUGUUUCAGCACGUCCUGGAACCAUCUAUUUUUGUUUUGUGGCUGCUUUACAUUUUAGUAAACCUCUUCCCUUUCAUUACAGAAGACCGACAUAAAAAUAAUACUUUCAAUAUGCUGUUUUUAUUUAUCUACAUUCUGUCAUGAUAUACUUUGAUGUAAGUUUUUAAUUUUGCUUCAGCUUUCAGCUGUUGUAGCAGUUACUGCUCAGGGUCAGCGAUGAGGUUAGCCACAGUAGCACAAAACAAUUUCCUGUUCUCACAGCCCAGGUAGCAUUUGGAUGUGGAUUAAAUUUUACCACAUUUUCCAGUAGCCAGACACAAUUAUUUCUAAUGAGCUUUAAAUUGCUUCUAGAGCACGUAUUUCCAAACUUAGGGUGGUGAUCCAUUCAGUGCUAGCGACUUCAUAAGACAGCACUUCUUCUUCCGAGCUGUGGUUAAGCAGGUAUUUCUAAUCAGUGGAUUUGCUUACAAGUGGCUUGCUCACUGUUCUCAAUUGCUGUUCAUCUGUUGUCCUCUCUCCUGCAAUGCUGCUUCCAUAAUAUAUUGUUCUUCAUUACUGACUCGGAUUUCAUCAUCGUUUUCUUUUGGCAAAUUUAUCUUGGCAUUAUUCACGCUGCUUGUGCCAUUUUGAGAGGUUUUAAUGCACGUUUUGUUGUUCUGGAGGCUUUAAAAAUUAGUUUUUGAAGUUCUGCUCUCAUCUUUACGAUUCAUGUUUUCCUUUUGUUUUCCAUAUAUGGCCACUUUGCUAUCCUGCCCUGGCAUUCUGAACACGUGGAAGGCAUACGUUCAAAACUCAUCUUUAUGGGGCGGUAAUGAAUAAUAAGAAAUAUGAAAGUGGAAAAGACAAGGAACAUUAUUUUUCCCUCUAUAAAUAUGGUGAUCAGAUCCUCUCUCUUGGGACUUUGUCAGAAGAUCAGGGUUAUCCACUGAAACUCAGGGCGUUUCCAUCUGUUACUCUGCGCUCAAAUCUGCCUGAUGUGGAAAUUAUAUCCGCUUUGGCUUCUUGGAGUCGUAUGGGGACAAGCACUUUGACAGGCCUUUGUCAGAACGCUGCUUUCAGCAUCCCACAGUGACUUGCUACAAUAUCAAAAGCUAAGCCAGUCUUAUUACCUACUUUUGGAACGUCUGACCCAAGAUCAUAUGGAUUUCAUUACCAGCUUAGAGCCUCAUGUCCUGAUCUGUGUCCUCACCUCCGUGUCUGGAGGACUUACUGCUCGAGAUGAUGUCAAUCCUUAUGAACAGCAUCAGUUUGGAAGACUGCAGGAACCAACGGUCUGUGUCAGGACCACUGCUUGGACUUAUAGCUCUAGAUGAGAAGUACUUCAGUGAGCUGAGGGCAACUUUGAUAAACAGCCAGCCUGGCAGCACACAGCAAGACCUUGAGCAAUGCUUCAGGAACCUCAUGAAAGGAGUUGAGCAGAAGGUUUCAGUGAAGAACAGAGGCUGGUUCACCCAGAACGUGUCAGUGUUCUGAAGGGACGUGGCUGAGGUGCUGCGCAGUGAAGGGGCGGCCGAUGCGGGCAGCUUGGGAAUGAAGAGCUGACAAGGACUGGGGAAAGCAGAGCUGGCUAAUAAAUCUGUUCUGAAA